UGGCUAGAACUCGGGCAAGGUUGCGGCUUGCUCAAGAUUUACAUUUGAGUGAGUGGCGAACUGGUGAGUAACACGUGGGAAACCUGCCCAGAAGCGGGGGAUAACACCUGGAAACAGAUGCUAAUACCGCAUAACAACUUGGACCGCAUGGUCCGAGUUUGAAAGAUGGCUUCGGCUAUCACUUUUGGAUGGUCCCGCGGCGUAUUAGCUAGAUGGUGGGGUAACGGCUCACCAUGGCAAUGAUACGUAGCCGACCUGAGAGGGUAAUCGGCCACAUUGGGACUGAGACACGGCCCAAACUCCUACGGGAGGCAGCAGUAGGGAAUCUUCCACAAUGGACGAAAGUCUGAUGGAGCAACGCCGCGUGAGUGAAGAAGGGUUUCGGCUCGUAAAACUCUGUUGUUAAAGAAGAACAUAUCUGAGAGUAACUGUUCAGGUAUUGACGGUAUUUAACCAGAAAGCCACGGCUAACUACGUGCCAGCAGCCGCGGUAAUACGUAGGUGGCAAGCGUUGUCCGGAUUUAUUGGGCGUAAAGCGAGCGCAGGCGGUUUUUUAAGUCUGAUGUGAAAGCCUUCGGCUCAACCGAAGAAGUGCAUCGGAACUGGGAAACUUGAGUGCAGAAGAGGACAGUGGAACUCCAUGUGUAGCGGUGAAAUGCGUAGAUAUAUGGAAG
rnacentral:rRNA from 1 species